AACGAACGCUGGCGGCAGGCCUAACUCAUGCAAGUCGAGCGCCCGCAAGGGAGCGGCGGACGGGUGAGUAACGCGUGGGAACGUGCCCUUUGCUACGGAAUAGCCUCGGGAAACUGAGAGUAAUGCCGUAUGUGCCCUUCGGGGGAAAGAUUUAUCGGCAAAGGAUCGGCCCGCGUUGGAUUAGGUAGUUGGUGGGGUAAUGGCCUACCAAGCCGACGAUCCAUAGCUGGUUUGAGAGGAUGAUCAGCCACACUGGGACUGAGACACGGCCCAGACUCCUAUGGGAGGCAGCAGUGGGGAAUCUUAGACAAUGGGCGCAAGCCUGAUCUAGCCAUGCCGCGUGAGCGAUGAAGGCCUUAGGGUUGUAAAGCUCUUUCGUGGGGGAAGAUAAUGACGGUACCCCAAGAAGAAGCCCCGGCUAACUCCGUGCCAGCAGCCGCGGUAAAAC
rnacentral:rRNA from 1 species